GACGAACGCUGGCGGCGUGCCUAAUACAUGCAAGUCGAGCGAGUCUGCCUUGAAGAUCGGAGUGCUUGCACUCUGUGAAACAAGAUACAGGCUAGCGGCGGACGGGUGAGUAACACGUGGGUAACCUGCCCAAGAGAUCGGGAUAACACCUGGAAACAGAUGCUAAUACCGGAUAACAACAGAUGAUGCCUAUCAACUGUUUAAAAGAUGGUUCUGCUAUCACUCUUGGAUGGACCUGCGGUGCAUUAGCUAGUUGGUAGGGUAACGGCCUACCAAGGCGAUGAUGCAUAGCCGAGGUGAGGGACUGAUCGGCCACAGUGGGACUGAGACACGGCCCAAACUCCUACGGGAGGCAGCAGUAGGGAAUCUUCCACAAUGGACGCAAGUCUGAUGGAGCAACGCCGCGUGAGUGAAGAAGGGUUUCGGCUCGUAAAGCUCUGUUGUUGGUGAAGAAGGACAGGGGUAGUAACUGACCUUUGUUUGACGGUAAUCAAUUAGAAAGUCACGGCUAACUACGUG
rnacentral:rRNA from 1 species